GCGUGACCAUUUUCGAUAUACAUCAAGUCGACUCUCGUUUAGUUAUUUAUAGAAACAAGAAAUUUUUUGGCUUGAAUUAUCAUUGUCUGUGAUCAGAAACUCUGUGUGUGUGUAUGCAUUACGUGGGAACCACACGAACUCAUCAGCCUAUUAUCUCUUCAGCCUACCACCUAGACGUGCUCUCACUGUGACUGUGAGGCAAUACACUCAAAGAUUACAGAAGAAGUUGUGAUCAAACCCUGUGCGUGUGUGUGUCCUGCAUUACGUGGGAUCCACAACAGAUUAUCGCACACCAAUUAUCUCUUUUUCAUACCAUCUAUAGGCUCUCUCACUGUGAGGCAUUACACUACAAGAUUAUGUGUGUCAUUACAGUAAUUCACCAGAACUUAAUUGAAAUGUAUGAGCCGUCUGAUGUGGAGAACAACGAUCCUAAUAAAUCACAACAAAAUACAAGUAGAAGUUCUACUCCUACAAAGAAGCUAGUUCUUCCAUAAGAUUUUUUCGAAUUUGUUGGUGAUUCAGUUGGGAAAAAUUCAAGUCAGUAUAAGUGUCUCUUUCCUGGGUGUGCUAAAAAAAAUUAAUCUGAUAAACUACUAGUAGUUUCCAAUACUUCUAGGCAUAAUACAAAAAGACAUUAUUUGAGUGAUUAUCCCAAAGAUGAACUAGGACAUAGAAAUUCUGGGACGAUGCAAUAAAGAAAUUAACAGCUGACGAUAAAUCAACAUCUUCUCGAUCCAGAUUUAUUUCAACAAAAAGAAACGAAAUAAUAACUCAAGAAGAUCUUGACAACUGGGUCUUGGAUUUUAUAAUCGUCGAUGUCUUGCCCAUUAGCGUUGUUGAAAAGCCAGGUGUUAAGAAACUAGUGUCUAGUCUGGCACCCACCUUAAUUUUACAUGGAAGGACUUUCUUUACCAACAAAUUAGAGAAAGAAUAUGAGGAACGAAGACAACAGCUAAUCGAUGCCUUAGAAAAAUGUACAGAUGCAGCAACUACGAUUGAUGCCUGGACAUGUAGACGAAGAUCUUAUCUGGGUGAAACCAUACAUUGGUUUGAAUCUGACUCACUAAAGCGAAAAAAUGCUUGUCUUGCUAUUCGCCGCAUCAAAAGGCGACAUACAUAUGAUGUACUUACAACUUUCAUAGAAGAUCUCCAUA